UACGAAGGGGGCUAGCGUUGCUCGGAAUCACUGGGCGUAAAGGGCGCGUAGGCGGCCGAUUAAGUCGGGGGUGAAAGCCUGUGGCUCAACCACAGAAUUGCCUUCGAUACUGGUUGGCUUGAGACCGGAAGAGGACAGCGGAACUGCGAGUGUAGAGGUGAAAUUCGUAGAUAUUCGCAAGAACACCAGUGGCGAAGGCGGCUGUCUGGUCCGGUUCUGACGCUGAGGCGCGAAAGCGUGGGGAGCAAACAGGAUUAGAUACCCUGGUA
rnacentral:rRNA from 1 species